rnacentral:lncRNA from 1 species
AUGAAGACUGGGCCAAAGAGCAAAGAGCAGCAGGUGGGCGGCGCUCAGCGUAUGAUUGAAGAUACCCGAAAGAUCAAUCGCUUCUUCGCUGAUGAGGGAUGCAGCGAGUCUCUGUGGCUCGGCGAGUUGCUGCUCUGCCUGGCUGAGAUUCUGCGCCUGCAGGACCCUGCAAGUGUUCAGCUGGAGAUGGUCAACCUGGCCCGAGCAUUCCCUGACCUCAGGUAUGUGAGACAGUCAGAACUGGCGGAGGUUAAUGGACGCUGGUACAGAAGAAAGGACAACACACUGAUAGAAUAAAUAUAUAGACUGCAUGGUGGUUCAGACGGUGACGUUUGUGCAUCAGGAACCUCCUGCCAUUGGUCACUCUGUGUCCUCUCAGACCUGAAAAUGGUUGUUCUGUGUUUCAUAUGGAAACGCUGAAACCUAGCUGCUGUUGCAACCCUACACCUGGUCUCUGUGGUGACUGCAGGUGGGGUUCAGAUGUACAGAGAACAGAAAACCACUGGGUGGUGUCAUGUUUAAACACACCAUUGACAGUAGAGUAGCCACCCAGCUUGUGUUUGUCUUCUUUCAGGAGCUGUCUGAGUAAAAUAAAAACCUCUCCCAGUUCACAGGUUGUCCCACAUUUUGGGAACAUGUUAAGAUUUCAUUUGCUUUCCUUGUUCUUUCCUUGUUCAUCUAGAACCUAUAUAUAGAACCCAUCUAUAUGAUCCCCAUUUUAUUCCUGUUUAUAGCUUAUUUCAGAGAAGUGGUAGCUCACCCUGUUGGGAACUGGGCUGAGAAGCGGAGGGGUCUCGGUUCUAGCCCCAGUGCAGGCAAAACAUGAAAGGUAUCAACAUCUUCAGAGCACUGUCGAGGUACCCUUGAGCAAGGUACCGAACCCACAAUUGUUCCCAUAGUGCCCUAGUCCCUCCAGGGGUGGACUCCUAUCCUUUAUUCUUUGUCUUGUUGGUUAUUGUUUCUUUCUUUAUUUGUAAAAAUCGAAAGGCUGAGCCGAAAGGCGAAGCUCUCGAUUUACCGGUCAAUCUUCGUUCCUACCCUCACCUAUGGUCAUGAGCUUUGGGUAAUGACCGAAAGAACAAGAUCACGGGUACAAGCGGCCGAAAUGAGCUUCCUCCGUAGGGUGGCUGGGCUCUCCCUUAGAGAUAGGGUGAGAAGCUCUGCCAUCCGGGAGGAGCUCGGAGUAGAGCCGCUGCUCCUCCGCGUUGAGAGGAGCCAGAUGAGGUGACUUGGGCAUCUAGUUAGGAUGCCCCCUGGACGCCUCCUGGGUAAGGUGUUCAGGGCAUGUCCCUCCUGUAGGAGACCCCCGGGAAAACCCAGGACACGUUGGAGAGAAUAUGUCUCUUGACUGGUCUGGGAACGCCUGGGGAUCCGGAGGAGCUGGAAGAAGUAGCUGGGGAGAGGGAAGUCUGGGCUUCUCUCCUUAGGCUGCUGCCCCCGCGACCCGACCCCGGAUAAGCGGUAGAGGAUGGAUGGAUGGAUGGAUGGAUUGACUUUUACGAUGAGUUGAGCUAAAGCAGAGCUUAUACUUUUCAGCGAUGCACACAUGGCGGCCCUGCUGUCCCUAAAAAACAGCCUAUCAGCAGCUGACAUUCGCUCCAUCAGGCAGAGCAUGGAGGAAAAUCGGCACCAGGAUGUCCACAGACACCAUAGGCCUCCAUUUUUCUCCAAGGUCAAAGUCACAUGGAUCAAUAAGAUAAAUCAAAUCAAACUCAAGACAAGAAUUUCUUUGCAUUCCUGAAUUGACAUGUUUGCCACAUUUUAUUUAUUUAACUAUUUUAUUUUAAACUGUCCCAUCGCUGUUUAUUUAGAAAGCUAGUUGCAGGCUCCAUAUCUACUGUAGUUGAUCAAAAACCAAACGAUCUACAGCCUUAUUCCUCUGUAAUUAAUGUGCAAUCUAUACCGAAUAAAG